rnacentral:rRNA from 1 species
GAUGAACGCUGGCGGCGUGCCUAAUACAUGCAAGUCGAGCGAAUGGAUUAAGAGCUUGCUCUUAUGAAGUUAGCGGCGGACGGGUGAGUAACACGUGGGUAACCUGCCCAUAAGACUGGGAUAACUCCGGGAAACCGGGGCUAAUACCGGAUAACAUUUUGAACCGCCUGGUUCGAAAUUGAAUGGCGGCUUCGGCUGUCACUUAUGGGUGGACCCGCGUCGCAUUAGCUAGUUGGUGAGGUAACGGCUCACCAAGGCAACGAUGCGUAGCCGACCUGAGAGGGUGAUCGGCCACACUGGGACUGAGACACGGCCCAGACUCCUACGGGAGGCAGCAGUAGGGAAUCUUCCGCAAUGGACGAAAGUCUGACGGAGCAACGCCGCGUGAGUGAUGAAGGCUUUCGGGUCGUAAAACUCUGUUGUUAGGGAAGAACAAGUGCUAGUUGAAUAAGCUGACACCUUGACGGUACCUAACCAGAAAGCCACGGCUAACUACGUGCCAGCCGCCGCGGUAA